GGCGGACGGGUGAGUAAUAUAUAGGUAAUGUGCCCUAGAGAAGAGGAUAACAGUUGGAAACGACUGCUAAUACUCUAUAUGCCUUUAAGACAAAAGUCUGCAAGGGAAAUAUUUAUAGCUCUAGGAUCGGCCUGUACGGUAUCAGCUAGUUGGUGAGGUAAUGGCUCACCAAGGCAAUGACGCCUAACUGGUUUGAGAGGAUGAUCAGUCACACUGGAACUGAGACACGGUCCAGACUCCUACGGGAGGCAGCAGUGGGGAAUAUUGCACAAUGGGGGAAACCCUGAUGCAGCAACGCCGCGUGGAGGAUGACACAUUUCGGUGCGUAAACUCCUUUUAUAUAGGAAGAUAAUGACGGUACUAUAUGAAUAAGCGCCGGCUAACUCCGUGCCAGCAGCCGCGGUAAUACGGAGGGCGCAAGCGUUACUCGGAAUCACUGGGCGUAAAGAGCGUGUAGGCGGGUUAAUAAGUUUGAAGUGAAAUCCUAUGGCUCAACCAUAGAACUGCUUUGAAAACUGUUAACCUAGAAUAUGGGAGAGGUAGAUGGAAUUUCUGGUGUAGGGGUAAAAUCCGUAGAGAUCAGAAGGAAUACCGAUUGCGAAGGCGAUCUACUGGAACAUUAUUGACGCUGAGACGCGAAAGCGUGGGGAGCAAACAGGAUUAGAUACCCUGGUAGUCCACGCCCUAAA
rnacentral:rRNA from 1 species